UUAAAGGCUUUUAUAAAAGCUACCAGAGAUAUUUAAAAUGGAGAAG
rfam:Pseudocohnilembus persalinus scaffold2176, whole genome shotgun sequence.